ACAACAACAAGAAAUCAAUGAAGUCAGAGAUAAAGUUAUUAAU
rnacentral:guide_RNA from 1 species